GCGAGGGAAGAAAAUGGCUCCAAGUGUUCUACCUUAUGACAACUUAUGGCUUCCAAGAUUACUUCAGUCCAGUACAGUAUAUCGACGCAACAGUUAAAGGAAGAGGCCUACCGCUAUGACUUCGAUGUGCAUCCUACAGAUUACGAGCUUUGCUUUAAACCUGAAUGGUACCCCCUCCAUGUGUUUAGCUAUUGUAAUCUCUGAACAAUGUGUUCCUGUCCCC